ACUAUUUUGGCAGAUAAGUGCAUUAAAUUUAGAAUUUAAUUAUAUAUAUAUUUAUAUAGGUAGUA
rnacentral:tRNA from 1 species